rnacentral:rRNA from 1 species
UACGUAGGCAGCGAGCGUUGUUCGGAGUUACUGGGCGUAAAGCGUGCGUAGGCGGUUGUCUAAGUCUGGUGUGAAAUCUCCCGGCUCAACUGGGAGGGUGCGCCGGAAACUGGAUGACUGGAGUGCCGGAGAGGUAAGCGGAAUUCCUGGUGUAGCGGUGAAAUGCGUAGAGAUCAGGAGGAACGCCUGUGGUGUAGACAGCUUACUGGACGGGGACUGACGCUGAGGCACGAAGGCGUGGGUAGCAAACAGG